UAUGUUUUAGUGUAGAAGCACACGAAGUUUUGAUCUUCGCGGAAAUGGUGUGAUUCCAUUAAAUGUAA
rnacentral:tRNA from 1 species